ACUAUUUUGGCAGAUUAGUGCACUAAAUUUAGAAUUUAGUAAAGUAAUAUUUAUUACAUAUAGUA
rnacentral:tRNA from 1 species